UGAAGUUUUGAGAAUUAUUGUAGGAAGAGGGCAGUGAACAUGAUUGUAACCAGGACCUAAAGUCUUCAGUGAAGGAGGAAGGAUGAUUAAGAGAUAAUUGCAAGGCUGCAUUAAGGGAAGAGAAAGAGGCAUGGAAGAAGAGAAAGCAAAGCAUCACAAUAGGCUUGAAAGCACUUUUUGGGACAAAACUUUGUAUGUGUACUGAAAUGUGGAACUUAGUGGAAGCAAACAGAAAUCUACUACGUUUUUAAGGGAGG
rnacentral:lncRNA from 10 species